rnacentral:lncRNA from 1 species
AGCGCCCCACCUCCACUCCACCAACACAGCCACCGCGCCUCCUCCUCCCUCUCUUCUUCUUCUUCUUCUUCUUCUUCUUCUUUCUUUCUUUCUUUCUUUCCUUUUUCUUUCUUUCUUUCCCUUUCUUCUUCCCUGCAACUGUGUCUGCGUCACUGCCAGCAACUCCAGCAAUGUCGGCCGAUCACCACCGCGCGCCAGUUGCAGUCGCACCGCCUCCANNNNN